rnacentral:lncRNA from 1 species
CCACAUCAUAAAAAAUACUUAUGUUAUGUGAUAACUUAUUAAUACAAAUAAACUAUGAUAAAACUCCAACAGAGACUACUCUUAGUAGCUCAGAAAAUCUGGAAGCAGUAGAACAACUACUACAUCUUUAAUUAACGUCUCUAAUCCAAUCAUCAUGUCAGUGUUGUGGGCUAUGUAUGAGAGAUAAGUCAUGACUAAUAAAUUUAUUGUGAGAAAAAAACACCGCUGAAUAUUCAACAGAUAAGCAACCGAACAAGCUUGUUUGAAGGAGCGCCUGGACUAGAGCUCUAGCCUACGCAGGUGCAUCUAACCCUAGCAAAUUUUAAAAUAUACGCCUGGGAUUAAUGCUUGGACCAAGCAAGAUUGCAUCGAAGCAGCGCCUAUAUGGUGUCUACUGACAACGAAACAAACCUUAUGUUCGUGGAUAAAUCGGAUUCCCAUAUAUGCAUUAUUAACAUUAUUAAUAUAAGUAAACUAUUAGUACUAGUAUUUGCGUUAUACGCAUUAAAUCAAAAACAUUUUGCAUAGAAGAAAAAUGGGCGUCCAUAUGUUUCUUCUUGGGUCCACCCCUGUGACGGCGACACUGGAGAUAGCUAAGUUUUUAUCCGAGAGAAGGCUGCAAACUAUAAAGGUCCC